UACGAAGGGGGCUAGCGUUGUUCGGAAUCACUGGGCGUAAAGGGCGCGUAGGCGGCUUUGUAAGUCGGGGGGGAAAGCCUGUGGCUCAACCACAGAAUUGCCUUCGAUACUGCAUGGCUUGAGACCGGAAGAGGUUAGUGGAACUGCGAGUGUAGAGGUGAAAUUCGUAGAUAUUCGCAAGAACACCAGUGGCGAAGGCGGCUGACUGGUCCGGUUCUGACGCUGAGGCGCGAAAGCGUGGGGAGCAAACAGG
rnacentral:rRNA from 1 species